rnacentral:rRNA from 1 species
AUUGAACGCUGGCGGCAGGCUUAACACAUGCAAGUCGAGCGGGGUGAUGGUGCUUGCACUAUCACUUAGCGGCGGACGGGUGAGUAAUGCUUAGGAAUCUGCCUAUUAGUGGGGACAACAUCUCGAAAGGGAUGCUAAUACCGCAUACGUCCUACGGGAGAAAGCAGGGGAUCACUUGUGACCUUGCGCUAAUAGAUGAGCCUAAGUCGGAGUAGCUAGUUGGUGGGGUAAAGGCCUACCAAGGCGACGAUCUGUAGCGGGUCUGAGAGGAUGAUCCGCCACACUGGGACUGAGACACGGCCCAGACUCCUACGGGAGGCAGCAGUGGGGAAUAUUGGACAAUGGGGGGAACCCUGAUCAAGCCAUGCCGCGUGUGUGAAGAAGGCCUUAUGGUUGUAAAGCACUUUAAGCGAGGAGGAGGCUCUUUUGGUUAAUACCCAAGAUGAGUGGACGUUACUCGCAGAAUAAGCACCGGCUAACUCUGUGCCAGCAGCCGCCGUAA